CCUACGUGGCGCAGCAGUGAGGAAUAUUGGUCAAUGGGCGGAAGCCUGAACCAGCCAAGUCGCGUGAGGGAGUAAGGCCCUACGGGUCGUAAACCUCUUUUGCCGGGGAGCAGUGCCCAGCUCGUGAGCUGGGAGGGAGCGUACCCGGAGAAAAAGCAUCGGCUAACUCCGUGCCCGCAGCCGCGGUGAUACGGGGAAUGCGAGCGUUAUCCGGAUUUAUUGGGUUGCAAGGGUGCGUAGGCGGGCCUUCAGGAAGGCGGUAAAAUUGCGGGGCUCAACCCCGCCGAGCCGUCGGAACCGGGGGCCUUGAGUACCGGAGAAGUACGCGGAAUGCGUGGUGAAGCGGUGAAAUGCAUAGAUAUCACGCAGAACCCCGAUUGCGAAGGCAGCGUACCGGCCGGUCACUGACGCUGAGGCACGAAAGCGCGGGUAUCGAACAGGAUUAGAUACCCGAGUAGUC
rnacentral:rRNA from 1 species